GAUAGAUCGGUGUGGAACAAAACCCCUUCCCGGGUUCCAAACCUCUCUCUCUCGAGCUCUAGGUCAAAAUCCUUCCGUUUCUCACAAAACUUGGAAGAAGGGGAAGCAACAACUGUUAACAUUUUAAAUCUACACCUUCGCCUAUUUAUCUAGAAAACACUAUGCGAAGCCGCCAAUUCCUUACAUCGAAAGCGUCGCGGACAUUACAUUAAAAGCCUCGGACUCCGCACUGACCUGACAGGCCGAGACAUGUUCGCUGUCGAAACAGGACCGAGUCGAGAAGCCAAAGACCAGGACCCCCCCCACCCCGCGCGCUCGGCGCCCCACCCCCCCCAACUUCGGCCGAUGGGGCCGCUGCCGCCGAACCCCGGGCUGCUGGCUUCUCAAACUCCGCUGCUUCUUGGUUCAGGGCCCCUUAAUCAGACGAGCCCCCCGCUCCCCCGUCUCUUCAAAAUGGAUGAAUCAAACCAGCCGAAAAUGCGCCAAAGCCGCGCUGCAACCAAACCCACUAGGGCCUGUGGGCUCCGCCCCAUCACGCCCGGUCAUUGGCGGCUUCUGCCAGAUGCGCGGAGCUCAUUAGUCCGUUUGAAUCAUCACGUCUCCCAGACCCCGCCCCGCGCACUGAUAGGCCCCGCCUCCUCCGUGGGGUCCUGUUAGUCAAGAUGCUCUGAGAGUGCACGGCCGCAAAACAAAAAUGGUCGCUGCUUGGCCCGCCCCCUGGUUUCCACUCCAGGGUUGCAGAUUCGUUUUAGGUCGCAUCUUGGAACGACUAGAAAAAAAGAUUUAUACGGGAUUCAAUGUCA